rnacentral:rRNA from 1 species
GGACGAAGGAUGCAAGCGUUAUCCGGAUUCAUUGGGUUUAAAGGGUGCGUAGGCGGACUUGUAAGUCAGUGGUGAAAUCUCUUUGCUUAACAAAGAAACUGCCAUUGAUACUGCAGGUCUAGAGUAUAGAUGACGUUGGCGGAAUAUGACAUGUAGUGGUGAAAUACUUAGAUAUGUCAUAGAACACCGAUUGCGAAGGCAGCUAACGAAACUAUAACUGACGCUGAGGCACGAAGUGCGGGGAUCAAACAGG